GCGCCCUGAAGCUGGCUUGCUUCUCGCGUGUCGCUUGUGAUGGGAGGAUUAGGUCGCAGGCUCCACCUGCGUCAUCCUCUCAAACUUCUCAAGCGUCUGGCGCUUGGGGUCACUGCCCCCAAGGAGGCACCUGGAGGGGGGGAUGGCGUCCACUCCGAUGGGGAAUGAGGGGGAGAAGAAGAGCAGCUGGCCGUCUCAAGCUGCACCCUCCUUGAGAGGAGGUCCUGGCUUCGUUGUCUGGUUCUGAGGAAUACCUGUCCCGGAUCAGUGCAGAACUCACGGAGGAGGCUUUGUGCACUGCCUGUUGCCACUUGAACCCUGUGCCCAUCAAAAAAAAACAGACACAAGACCAAGCGACUCAGAUAUCCAAACGUGCAUUCUUCACCAAGACCUGAGGCACAGACACCCGAAACCGUACCCGCAGCAAGGCACACCUCCUGCCAACUCCUCAUGAAAAGAACAUGCCUCAGAACUCCUCUUUUGCCACUCGUUAAUCACUUCCAUUGGUGGGAACCUCCUGGUCAUGAGCAGCAUCAUCCCGAAGCCUUCAAAGUGUUCUGGAUUCAUCACACAACCCUCCAACCUCAGCCAGCAAGGACACCACCAGGAAUGAAAGCGCUUUAAUAAAGAGACGGGGAUCGCUCCCUCCCCCA